rnacentral:lncRNA from 11 species
UAAUCUUUUUACUGUUCUUGUCACACCGUUGAUAAAGUGCCGCGCCAUUAUAGUAUGUGCGUAGUUUCUUCAAACAGUUCAACGCAAUCUUCACGUAACUGAUUUAUGUAAUAAUUAUAUCGUUCGUAAUGUCUGUAAUAAUUUCUGACAGAUUAAAUGUUCGCAGUAGACAAAAAAUAGGAAUACAUACUCUCAUCCGUAAGUCACAGGACACUUGCAAAUUUUAAACAUAAAAUUUAAUAAAACAGAAACGAGGCUGAAGUUUCGCAAAUAUAAUAAAAACCGAAGUGAAGUCGAUCUUGUUAACCAAACUUCGCUAGUGAAGCUAACAGACCAAUAAACCAAGCCAAUUAGAUCGAAACUACUUUGUGGUCGAGCGAAUAAAAAGUAUCUUUCGUUCUAUUUCUACUUUCUCAUGUUACAUGCAUUGGUUAACCAUAAAUUGGGCUACCGGACACACGAAAUUAACUGCAAUUUUAUCUGAAAAAUCUAUAACUAAGUUUUAUAAAAUAGCAUCUUCUUCGAACUGGUGCAUCGUACAAAACUGAUGGAAUAUGAAAUAAUGCGAGGCCACGUAUACGGGAAGAACACGUCCGGACAGACGAAAAUUUAUGAUAUUGAUUAUCAUAGGAAUGCAAUUUAUUACACAAAUUGAAUUCGAUGUACAACAGCGACGAGGGAAAUGUCGGGAUAAAACGGGUUUUAUACUGCACACUGUUGUACAGGGUGUCAUCGAAUCGAUGCAAGUGACUUUAAACGAGAAAGUACCAUUCCGCCUCCUCUUUCCGCGAAGAAUGUGAUCAACAAAAUGGAAUGCAAGAGAAGUAGAUUUUAGAAGGGGAACUUUAAAAUUCCAGUUCCUUUUAACACAUUCACAGCCGGUGACGUAAAAUUGCUUAUAGUUAUUUGUAUAUCGCAGGGUAUUUCUAAAAUUAAGUUCACGGCUAGAGCCGUUAACACGUCUUUUGCUUACAAAUUUUGCUAUUUAGAGAUAAAUGCCGGAGCAAAUCUUUGGUAACAUGAUUUAAAAUCGUCGUAUUUUGUUUGGCGAUCGACAUAUUAUUUAAUUGUUUUUAUUCUUCAAUCGUGUUUAUUUCCCAGAAUCU